rnacentral:rRNA from 1 species
UACGGAGGGUGCAAGCGUUAAUCGGAAUUACUGGGCGUAAAGCGUGCGCAGGCGGUUUGUUAAGUCUACUGUGAAAUCCCCGAGCUCAACUUGGGAAUUGCAGUGGAUACUGGCAAGCUGGAGUACGGUAGAGGAAGGUGGAAUUCCCGGUGUAGCAGUGAAAUGCGUAGAGAUCGGGAGGAACACCAGUGGCGAAGGCGGCCUUCUGGACCAGUACUGACGCUCAUGCACGAAAGCGUGGGGAGCAAACAGG